GUUAUUAUUUUUAAAUUUAUUUUAUUGAGUAUUAUUAAAAUAUUUAAUGUUAUUUUUCAUCGUGCAGCUGUUUUUAGUCUUGUAUACAAUAUCAAACGACAGUAAAAAUAUUAAAAAGUAUUAAAACUUUUAAGAAAGUAAACUCUAUAAGUUAUUUAUUUAUAUAUGAAUAAUGUCUGAUAAGAUAUGAUAUUUAUAAACAUUGAAUAUGUAACGUAUUUGUAAUUAGUAUCGAUUAAACCAGUGUCAGUGUUACUUGGAUUUAAUUUUUUUUUAUCAAAUAACAAUGAAAACUUCCUUGUUUAAAAUAAUUGGUGUAUGUUGUUUUGUAAUCGCAUUAACUGUUGGUGAAAACUGCAUAAAGUUGUACCAAGAGUGUUCAGAUGAUAAUUUGUGUUGUAAAACGAUUCCUACUAUAGAAAAAUUAUCAUCUCGAGCAGGAGAGCAUUAUGGAGUUGAGUGCCGCACAAAUCGGAUUAUUGGUGCACCAAAAGAUUCUAAAAUUAAAAGUAUAUCAAGGUGCAGCCUCAUACUGACCUCUGUUCCUGAUAUUGAUGAAACUGAUUAAUUGUUGUUAAAAAUAUUUAAAUGUAAAUUUGUAAUUACAAAAAAAUAAACAACAGUAAUAAUAA